GUGAACGCUGGCGGUAGGCCUAACACAUGCAAGUCGAACGGCAGCACAGUAAGAGCUUGCUCUUACGGGUGGCGAGUGGCGGACGGGUGAGGAAUACAUCGGAAUCUACUUUUUCGUGGGGGAUAACGUAGGGAAACUUACGCUAAUACCGCAUACGACCUACGGGUGAAAGCAGGGGAUCUUCGGACCUUGCGCGAUUGAAUGAGCCGAUGACGGAUUAGCUAGUUGGCGGGGUAAAGGCCCACCAAGGCGACGAUCCGUAGCUGGUCUGAGAGGAUGAUCAGCCACACUGGAACUGAGACACGGUCCAGACUCCUACGGGAGGCAGCAGUGGGGAAUAUUGGACAAUGGGCGCAAGCCUGAUCCAGCCAUACCGCGUGGGUGAAGAAGGCCUUCGGGUUGUAAAGCCCUUUUGUUGGGAAAGAAAAGCAGCAGGUUAAUACCCCGCUGUUCUGACGGUACCCAAAGAAUAAGCACCGGCUAACUUCGUG
rnacentral:rRNA from 1 species